AUUGAACGCUGGCGGCAUGCCUUACACAUGCAAGUCGAACGGCAGCACGGGGGCAACCCUGGUGGCGAGUGGCGAACGGGUGAGUAAUACAUCGGAACGUGCCCAAUAGUGGGGGAUAGCUCGGCGAAAGCCGGAUUAAUACCGCAUAAGACCUGAGGGUGAAAGCGGGGGAUCGCAAGACAUCGCGCUAAUGGAGCGGCCGAUGUCAGAUUAGGUAGUUGGUGGGUAAAAGGCCCACCAAGCCGACGAUCUGUAGCUGGUCUGAGAGGACGACCAGCCACACUGGGACUGAGACACAGCCCAGACUCCUACGGGAGGCAGCAGUGGGGAAUUUUGGACAAUGGGCGAAAGCCUGAUCCAGCCAUGCCGCGUGCGGGAAGAAGGCCUUCGGGUUGUAAACCGCUUUUGUCAGGGAAGAAAUGUUCCGGGCUAAUACCCUGGGAAGAUGACGGUACCUGAAGAAUAAGCACCGGCUAACUACGUGCCAGCCGCCGCUGUAACAC
rnacentral:rRNA from 1 species